AGCGAGGACCUGGAGGACUGACGUGGAGAAGGGUUUCGUGUGAACAGCCGUUGCACACGAGUCAGUCGAUCCUAAGUCCUAGGAGAAAUCCUAUGUCAAUGACGGCGUACGAUACUCUAGUGUCGCGUUCUCGCAACUCUGUAAAUAGAGAGAGAGGAGAGAUACACACGCCCGUCGGGCGAAAGGGAAUCCGGUUCCUAUUCCGGAACCCGGCAGCGGAACCGCAUACAAUUCGGUCCCUCGUAAGUGUUCGUCGGGGUAACCCAAAAUGACCUGGAGACGCCGUCGGGAGAUCCGGGAAGAGUUUUCUUUUCUGUAUAAGCGUUCGAGUUCCCUGGAAACCUCUAGCAGGGAGAUAGGGUUUGGAACGCGAAGAGCACCGCAGUUGCGGCGGUGUCCGAAUCUUCCCCUCGGACCUUGAAAACCCAGGAGAGGGCCACGUGGAGGUGUCGCGCCGGCUCGUACCCAUAUCCGCAGAAGGUCUCCAAGGUAAAGAGCCUUUAGUCGAUAGACUAAUGUAGGUAAGGGAAGUCGGCAAAUUGGAUCCGUAACUUCGGAAUAAGGAUUGGAUCUGAGGAGUGGGGCGUGUCGGGCUUGGUCGGGAAGCGGGUCUGGCUGACGUGCCGGGCCUGAACACUCGAGUGUUCUCGCGCCGGUUCCGGGAUCCGAGCUCGGUCCCGUGCCUUGGCCUCCCGCGGAUCUUCCUUGCUGCGAGGCUUCCGUGGUGGCGCGAGCCGUCGUGAUCGUCCUCUUCAGCCGCCAUUCAACGCUCAGCUCAGAAGUGGCAUGGACUAGGGGAAUUCGUCUGUCUAAUUAAAACAAAGCAUUGCGAUGGCCCUCGCGGGUGUUGACGCAAUGUGAUUUCUGCCCAGUGCUCUGAAUGUCAACGUGAAGAAAUUCAAGCAAGCGCGGGUAAACUGCGGGAGUAACUAUGACUCUCUUAAGAGGCUCGUGGAUGAACUGGCGGAGAUUUAACGGAAUAACAACUCGUUAUGAUACUGGGCGGCGAUCGACCCCCAAUAGU
rnacentral:ncRNA from 1 species